GUGCCAGCAGCCGCGGUAAUACGUAGGUGGCAAGCGUUGUCCGGAUUUACUGGGCGUAAAGAGCGCGCAGGCGGUCGAUUUAGUCGCGUGUGAAAGCCCCCGGCUCAACUGGGGAGGGUCACGCGAUACUGAUCGACUCGAAGGCAGGAGAGGGUAGUGGAAUUCCCGGUGUAGUGGUGAAAUGCGUAGAUAUCGGGAGGAACACCAGUGGCGAAGGCGACUACCUGGCCUGUUCUUGACGCUGAGGCGCGAAAGCUAGGGGAGCAAACGGGAUUAGAUACCAUAGGAGUAC
rnacentral:rRNA from 1 species